rnacentral:tRNA from 1 species
GCCACCUUAGCUCAGUUGGCCAGAGCACGUGACUUGUAAUCUCGGGGUCGUCAGUUCGAAUCUGACAGGUGGCU